rnacentral:rRNA from 1 species
UACGUAGGUGGCAAGCGUUGUCCGGAUUUACUGGGCGUAAAGGGCGUGCAGGCGGUCUGUUAAGUUCAGGGUGAAAGCUCCCGGCUCAACUGGGAGAGGUCCUUGGAUACUGGCAGACUUGAGGGAGGUAGAGGAGAGUGGAAUUCCCGGUGUAGUGGUGAUAUGCGUAGAUAUCAGGAAGAACACCCGUGGCGAAGGCGGCUCUCUGGGACGGUACUGACGCUGAGACGCGAAAGCGUGGGGAGCGAACAGG